AAGGGCACCACAAGAACGCGUGGAGCAUGUGGCUUAAUUUGACUCAACGCGGGGAAUCUUACCGGGUCCGGACACACUGAGGAUUGACAGACGGUUAUUGACUUAUACUCGCUUAAUGGCUUUAAGCUGUUAAACGUUUAACACCUUUACACAAAGAUGCUAGUCCUUUCAUGAUCGUUUGAUAGGUGGUGCAUGGCCGUUCUUAGUUCGUGGAGUGAUCUGUCUGCCUAAUUGCGUUUCACUAAGGUCCCAUUCUUCAUACGUAUGAAUAGCGUCUUAACUCACUUUUACCGCUACCUAUUUGUAGUAAGCGCUCAUACUAUUGGGACCGGAAUGCAACGAGCGCGACUGCACCACCUAAUUGCCCCUUAUCUACCAUUAAUUACUUUAUUAACCGCCCUGUACGGGCACCGGGGCCUUACCUUUACUGAAACUAGCUGGACCGCUGCUUUCCUUUAAGCCAGAGGAAGGUUGCGGCAAUAACAGGUCUGUGAUGCCCUCAGAUGUUCCGGGCCGCACACGUGCUACAAUGAUCAGCACAAAGAGUAUUACCUAUCUUCUUAUACCUAACCCAAUAUGUUAAACUUAUUGCGUAAGGGUAUUGUCUUAACGACUUAUCCGCUUUAGCGCUUUAAGAUUAUUGGACGGUUAUGCCUGCCUCGAAAGAGUGUACAGGGCAGCAAGAGUAAUGAUUCCCUCGUUUUUACUACUAAUACCGCGCUUGGUAACAUAUUACACUCGAUUAAGUAGGGUCUUUGCUUUUAAUAGCAAUUGCUAUCCUCACCCUUAGCUCUAAGGAUAUUACUAUCUCUAAGGUCUACAGGGAGGUGUAUAUGGCGCACUUACUUAUUCACGGUGGGGACAGACCAUUGUUAACUG
rnacentral:rRNA from 1 species